rnacentral:rRNA from 1 species
UGAGGAAUAUUGGUCAAUGGGCGGAAGCCUGAACCAGCCAAGUAGCGUGCAGGAUGACGGCCCUAUGGGUUGUAAACUGCUUUUGAAGGGGAGUAAAGUGAGUGACGUGUCAUUCAUUGCAAGUACCGCAAGAAUAAGGACCGGCUAAUUCCGUGCCAGCAGCCGCGGUAAUACGUAGGGAGCAAGCGUUGUCCGGAUUUACUGGGUGUAAAGGGUGCGUAGGCGGCUCUGCAAGUCAGGUGUGAAAACUAUGGGCUUAACCCAUAGACUGCAUUUGAAACUGUGGGGCUUGAGUGAAGUAGAGGCAGGCGGAAUUCCCGGUGUAGCGGUGAAAUGCGUAGAGAUCGGGAGGAACACCAGUGGCGAAGGCGGCCUGCUGGGCUUUAACUGACGCUGAGGCACGAAAGCAUGGGUAGCAAACAGGAUUAGAUACCCUGGUAGUCCAUGCCGUAAACGAUGAUUACUAGGUGUGGGCGAAUGUUUCGUCCGCGCCGCAGCCAACGCAUUAAGUGUCCCGCCUGGGGAGUACGGCCGCAAGGCUA